UCAUCUCAUCAACCGACUUGUUAAGAAAACUGAGGCCCAGGGAAGUGGCUCACAAUUGUGUAGAAUUGUGAGGUGUCUUGACUGCUGGGCCAGGAGUGUAACUGCUCUAGGAAAGAAUUUGACUUUAACUCAGACUAAAAUGUCUUCAUAACAACAGCAAAACAACGAAGUAGGAUCUCAUAGAAAGGUCCUCGUUAACUGCCUGUAUGCAGAGCAGUGGGCCUUAAGCUCCACUGCCUGUGCUCAAGUCACCUUCAAGGCUUGUGGAAUUAGAUUGCGGAGUCCCAUCCUCAGAGUUUCUGAGCUCGACUGAAGGACGUACGCCCUCUCCCGGAAUCGUCUCAGCUACAGAGAACCACCUUGCCCAAGGUCACCACCCUCUUGCCAA
rnacentral:lncRNA from 1 species